rnacentral:rRNA from 1 species
UACGUAGGGUGCAAGCGUUAAUCGGAAUUACUGGGCGUAAAGCGUGCGCAGGCGGCUUUGCAAGACAGAUGUGAAAUCCCCGGGCUUAACCUGGGAACUGCAUUUGUGACUGCAUGGCUGGAGUGCGGCAGAGGGGGGUGGAAUUCCUGGUGUAGCAGUGAAAUGCGUAGAUAUGCGGAGGAACACCGAUGGCGAAGGCAAUCCCCGUGGACCUGUACUGACGCUCAUGCACGAAAGCGUGGGGAGCAAACAGG